rnacentral:rRNA from 1 species
UACGUAGGGGCGAGCGUUAUCCGGAAUUAUUGGGCGUAAAGGGUUCGCAGGCGGCCUUGUAAGUCAGAUGUGAAAGACAGCGGCUUAACCGUUGUAAGCAUUUGAAACUGCAGGGCUUGAGUACAGGAGAGGAAAGCGGAAUUCCUAGUGUAGCGGUGAAAUGCGUAGAUAUUAGGAGGAACACCAGUGGCGAAGGCGGCUUUCUGGACUGAUACUGACGCUGAGGAACGAAAGCGUGGGGAGCAAACAGGAUUAGAUACCCGGGUAGUCCCUGAG